rnacentral:misc_RNA from 1 species
GUUCCAUAAGUAACAUUAUUGCCCAGGCCACCAAGUAAGAUAUGAAAGAGCAGUUGUAUUUUGUAUUGGUUGAUUUUGAAAUGCCGUGCUGUCAUUGGUUGAUGUAUUUGCAAUUUUUCUUCUUGAUAUGUGAAAUAUAUGUUAUGCUUGUAUUUUACUAAACUGGAUAGUUAUUGUGAUUCACCUAGAAUUAUAUUUCA